rnacentral:rRNA from 1 species
GACGAACGCUGGCGGCGUGCCUAAUACAUGCAAGUCGAACGCAGUGGGGACGGGUGAGUAACACGUGGGUAACCUCCCAUCAGAGGGGAUAACACUUGGAAACAGGUGCUAAACCGCUACUGAUGGAUGAACCCGCGGUUCAUUAGCUAGUUGGUGAGGUAACGGCUAACCAAGGCCACGAUGCAUAGCCGACCGGAGAGGGUGAUGGUCAAGACUGGGAGUUAGACACGGCCCAGACGCCUACGGGAGGCAGCAGGAGGGAAUCUUCCGCAAUGGGCGAAAGCCUUACAGAGCAACGCCGCGUGAGUUAUGAAGGUCGUCGGAUCGUAAAACUCUGUUAUUAGGGAAGCGGUACCUAUUCAGAAAGCCACGGCUAACUACGUGCCAGCAGCCGCGGUAAUUC